rnacentral:rRNA from 1 species
AUUGAACGCUGGCGGCAUGCUUUACACAUGCAAGUCGAACGGUAACAGGUUAAGCUGACGAGUGGCGAACGGGUGAGUAAUGCAUCGGAACGUGCUCGAUCGAGGGGGAUAACGCAGCGAAAGCUGCGCUAAUACCGCAUACGAUCUGAGGAUGAAAGCGGGGGACCGUAAGGCAUCGCGCGAUCGGAGCGGCCGAUGGCAGAUUAGGUAGUUGGUGGGGUAAGGGCUCACCAAGCCAACGAUCUGUAGCUGGUCUGAGAGGACGACCAGCCACACUGGGACGGAGAGAAGACUCAGAGUCCGACGGGAGUGAGCAGUGGGGAAGUUUUGACAAUAGGCGGAAUCCUGAUCCAGCAAUGCCGCGUGGAGGAAGAAGGGCUGCGGGUUGUAAACUGCUUUUGUACGGAGCGAAAAGGUUCUCUCUAAUACAGAGGGCUCAUGACGGUACCGUAAGAAUAAGCACCGGCUAACUACGUGCCAGCCGCCGCCGUAA